CUAAAAACAGCUUGCAUAAACUGCAGAUCUCUUGUCUGCUGACUUUGCAAGCCCUUCUCUUCUAACCUAGACCAGACUUUAUGUGACUGUUCAAUCACAGUCUUCCCAGUGCAGCUCAAUAAGAGGUCUUUGCAAGGCAGAUGCUCUGAGCAAUUGCUGCCCGUUGAGUUCAGUGCAACUAACUAACUAACAAACCAAACGAGGAAGUAACAGUACAUACUGUCUGCUUGAAAAGCCAGG